GAACGUAAUGUCAGAGGGUGAACAACACGUGGGUCUUCCUCGUUUGGUCAAGGGUGCGUCUUGGCUCUUCUUUAUUAGUGACAGUUGCUAAUAAAUCGACGGUAGGAUCUUACGAAUAUAUUCCAAAGUGCUAUCAUGUGGGCAUGGAUGGUGACAGCCAGGAUAAAUCGUGGCAAAACACCGCAGACAAAACCACCUCGGUCUGGUGGGCGAUCGUGGGAUUGGUCAUCCAUCUCUGCAUGCAACUUUGAGAUGUGGCUUCGACCUUCGACUGACACUAAUAUUAUUGAAACUACAUUGAACUAAGUACGUCACUAGGAAAAUGGAAGAAUCCCCCAAAACAGUCGAACUUAUUGAUUGCUCAAUAAAAGAAAACGAAUCGAGUUCUCUUCCGUAAUUUGCUUGAUUAUUGGGAAAAACUUGGUUUUUGGAAUUUUCAAUAGUACAAAUCAUUGCUCAAUAAGGAUCCCUAUGCCCUCCAAAAGAAGGGGUGUGCGGAAAUGGUUUUAUACGUCGUUUCUAAGGCUGUCUCGCCUUCCAAACUUCAAGCCGUUGCGAAAUGUGCGUUCUUUUCAAAAGUUUGAUAUGGGCGGCACGUAGAAAAGUUCUUGGAUUGUUCAAUCACAUGAUUAGUUAAGGUCGAACGAUAAACAAUGUUGUUCCAGUUAAUCGGAGUGGUUUUAUUUGGAGCUCAACAAAUUCAUGGAUCGACUUUGCUGUUAGCCCCAUCUUUCAUAAAGGCAAAAUUUUGGAAAGUGACAAAGCAGGAGCAGAGUGGAACAGAUAUAUCUUGUGUAAUGCGUUGCAAAUCCACAAAUUGUCAAGGAGUGGCUUUCAAUCGAGCUCAGAGCCUUUGUCUAUACGGAGGCUUCCAAGCCGAUCCAACAACCCUUGAGGGUGAAGAACACAUCGAAGUUUGGAUAUUGGGUCAGUUGAGAGUGGGGUAGACGUGAAACCAUUAAUGUAACCCAAUUUGUCUUGGCACAGGACCAUUGGAAACUUAUUUCAUUACAGAGGACACUCGGAUUGCCACCAUUCCGCCCAAUGAUUGCCGACUUUAUCCUGAUUGGAUCAGCAAACCCAACGGAAAAAGAUACUUCUUCACAUCUGAGUAUAUGCCCUGGUAAGAUCAAAAAGAAUUUUGCGAAUCCCGACAGGCUCGAUUGGCGACGGUCAAAUCCAAUGAGGAUGAGUAGAUUGUUUUUGAACUCACAGCCGGAUACGAAACUUGGCUGGGUUUGACCAAUCGUGCCGGUGAAAGAUGUGAGAAUGAAUCAUGCAAUGGGAAGUUAUUUUGGAGCGAUGGUUCAAUGUUUCAAUAUGAUCAAGCAAUUUACUCCAAGCCCAUGAUAUCGGAUUGGGCAAACUUUUGCCUUCGGCUCCGGAGUAAAGAUUAUAACGACAAAGAAUGUUCCGAUUCUAAGGCUGGAUUGUGCGAAGUCGUUUGCUCUUAGUCUGAACCGUCGUCCAUUCAUUACUGCAAUGUGUAAGAAAGUAGAAAUAUUUCAACCUUCAAUAAAUUCCCCAUCUUUCAA